GGGGGAAAAUGAAAGGAGAAAGCCUCCCCUGGGAAAAAAGGGAGUGAUCCCAUUAUAAAUGAGAGUCAUACAGCAUCCUUCUGGAGGCAUGUUGAAAUUUCCCAUGGGAGGAAGAAGAAUAAACAAAGGCAGAAUGGAAGGAAUACUUAACAGGCCUGGAUUUACUGGGAAGGCCAAAAUGCCUGUGUAUGUUUCCUGCCUUUCCCCAAGUGGUAUUUGCAAUUCAUGUUUCUCCAGUGGAGUGCCACAGUCUCUCUCCAGCUGCUCAAAUCUGCAUGCUAGGUUUGGGCAGCAGAGAGAAAACAAUAUGCAGUGGUCUCAAAUCAACAAAAGAGAAUGUCAGCAACUAAGUGCCAGCUUUGCAGGAGAUAACAGAGUCGUGGGAGAGAUCCUAAUAAGAUUGAGUUUCUAGAGAUACUUCUGCUCAUGUGGAAUCCACAGCCCAGAACUCCAGCUCUCUCCAGGAGGCAGGAACACACGGCAUUUUAAAAAGAACCAGGAGGA
rnacentral:lncRNA from 1 species